AUGCAAAUAGGACCAGGGACCUUUGUAGUGCGCUUUCCUAAUCCUCGAGCAGUGGCCCAAAUUUGCUAUGUGGGGAAAAUCACUCUUAAAACUAGCGGGGCUGUUAUUCAUGUUACUAAAUGGUCAUCUGCUGUUGGGGCUAAAGGGGUUAUGGAAAUAGCUUGGGUCAAAAUUAGCAAUAUCCCUCUGGACAAAAGGAGUAAUAGGAAUCUGGCUUAUGUUGCCUCGCUGGUGGAUGUUCCUUUGGAAGUAGAUGCUGCUACCUUGCACCGUCCGGCAUCUGUCGGGGUCCGGAUUGGUUGUAGAAAUGUGGAGGAGAUUCCUGCAGUCGCAGAGGCUGUGCUUGGUGAUCAUUUUUAUGAUUUCUUUUAUGAAGUGGAUCAGAUUCUGGUGAGGGAUCCUAAUAGAGAGAAAAAAGUUGUUCAAGCUUCCUCUAAUCCUCGUGAAAAAAAUAUGGAGAUGAAAAAUUCCUUGUUGUCGACUCCUGGAGCUAACCUGGGUAGUUUUUCCACUGGGCUUGGAGGGAAAUCUCCCUGCAUUCCCAGGGGGAAAAUAGGACCCUAUUCGGGAGUCACAGGAGAGUGUGGAAUCUGA
rnacentral:rRNA from 1 species